ACGGCGGGGGAAGCGCAGGGCUGCGCAGGGAUAGCCCGGAGGGAGGAGGAAGGACGGAGCGAGGAGAGAUGGCAGAAGGAACUUUCGGGGAGGGACGGGGACGCAGGAGAGAUGGAGCAGUUUUGAG